CAGUAGCCGCGGGAACACGUAGGGUGCAAGCGUUAAUCGGAAUUACUGGGCGUAAAGCGUGCGCAGGCGGUUAUAUAAGACAGAUGUGAAAUCCCCGGGCUCAACCUGGGAACUGCAUUUGUGACUGUAUAGCUAGAGUACGGCAGAGGGGGAUGGAAUUCCGCGUGUAGCAGUGAAAUGCGUAGAUAUGCGGAGGAACACCGAUGGCGAAGGCAAUCCCCUGGGCCUGUACUGACGCUCAUGCACGAAAGCGUGGGGAGCAAACAGGAUUAGAUACCCCGGUAGUCCCUGUCUCUUAUAC
rnacentral:rRNA from 1 species